rnacentral:lncRNA from 1 species
GCCCCCAACCCUAACCUAUUGAAAUAUCUCAUUUUUCAAUUACAUAUUUCUCUCCAUCCACAUCUGUAAGGCCCACCAUACACGACAGGAAGAUGGAAACUUUCCUCUGUGACCUUGAACCGGUUCCUUCUUGCUUCUGUUGGAAGCAUCCCACCCUCUCUCCCUGAUGUAUCUUCUUCUCUGUCUGCCUAACCAUUUCUUUAACUCAAUCUAGCUCUCAGGCAGGCCAAGGAGAACUGGAAGGUGGCAGCUCCUUGGUGACUAGCUGGAGCU